UGUGGUUAUUAUAGCAAAGAGGAUACACCUGUUCCCAUUCCGAACACAGAAGUUAAGCUCUUUAGCGCCGAUGGUACUUGGUGGGAAGCUGCCUGGGAGAGUAGGAUGUAGCCACGU
rnacentral:rRNA from 1 species